ensembl:lncRNA
ACAGUAGUGAUGUGACGUUCUGUAUCAAGGCGGGGGCGUUUCCGCGAUGCGCGUAUCGAGGCUUGCUUCAUUUAUGGGAGGAGCUGAAAAUGAUGACGUCCGAAGCCUCACUGCCCAGCUGUACCACGUGACUGGUUCAUGAAGUGGUUCGAACUUUGCCGCGAGCUAUGACAGCGAUAUAAACCCCUCAGACUUCAUUCAAAAUAAGCCGCUGGAGAGGACGCGGAGACCACGGUAAAAAGCUUCAUCAAAACCCACCUGAAGCUGCCGGAGGACACUGUGAAGAACAUCGUCUUCGAUCGGGUACAUCGCCUCGGCCCCAUUCGGGCUACGGCCGGGAGACCACGUCCUAUCGUGGCCAAAUUCGGCCACUUCAAACAAAAGCAACAUGUGAAAAGC